UGGGGGAUAUUGCACAAUGGGCGCAAGCCUGAUGCAGCGACGCCGCGUGUGGGAUGAAGGCCUUCGGGUUGUAAACUUCUUUUGCUCUGAACAAGGCGCACUUUGGGGUGUGUUGAGUGUAGGGGUUGAUUAGCGCCGGCUAACUACGUGCCAGCAGCCGCGGUAAUACGUAGGGCGCGAGCGUUGUCCGGAAUUAUUGGGCGUAAAGGGCUUGUAGGUGGCUGGUUGCGUCUGUCGUGAAAGCUCAUGGCUUAACUGUGGGUUUGCGGUGGGUACGGGCUGGCUUGAGUGCAGUAGGGGAGGCUGGAAUUCCUGGUGUAGCGGUGGAAUGCGCAGAUAUCAGGAGGAAUACCGGUGGCGAAGGCGGGUCUCUGGGCUGUUACUGACACUGAGGAGCGAAAGCAUGGGGAGCGAACAGG
rnacentral:rRNA from 1 species